UUAAAAGUUCUCAGAUAACAAACAAAAUUCUGCAAGAAAAUAAUUGGUAUUCAAAAUCAAACUAAUGGUUAUGUUUUUUGCCCUUUGUAAGUUUUUUUUUUAUCUCUCCAACACAUUCCCGAUUUACAUUUUCAAUUUUAUUAAGUUAGCAAAAAAUAAACUUGUAUUUCAUCAUAUUGUAUAGUAUUUCAAACCUUCAAAAAAUUUAUUGAUGUCAAAUACUAUUAAAAUUAUUA
rnacentral:lncRNA from 1 species